CUAGGGAGUUUGGUUUUGAGUUUUGUAAAAGAACUCAAUCCAGUGUGUUUAUUCGUGAAAUAUAUCAUUCUUCAGGACAACCAACUCAAAGAGAGUACAAAAUUCUCAAUUUGUUGGAUUUCACUAGCAAAAGAAAGCGGAUGAGCGUAAUUGUUCGGGAUGAGGAUAGGCAGAUUAUUCUCUUCUGCAAAGGCGCUGACAGCAUUAUUUUUGAUCGGCUAUCAAAGAAUGGAAGAAUGUAUGAGGAAGUUACUACUAGGCACUUGAAUGAAUAUGGAGAAGCUGGGUUGCAUA